rnacentral:rRNA from 1 species
CAGGUUAGAUACCCUAUUAUAGUUAAAAAUAAAUAUUUAAACCAGAGUAUUAACAGUUAUAUUCUUUAAAUUCAAAGAAUUUGGCGGUGUUUUAGUCUUUUUAGAGGAACCUGUUUCAUAAACGAUACACCACGAAAAUCUUACCUAUUUCAAGUUUGUAUACCGUCAUUAUCAGAUAACUUUGAUAAAAUUAGUUAUUAUAAUUAAAUAAAUUAAAUAAAUUAGAUCAAGGUGCAGCAAAUAAAUAGGAGAAAAUGGGUUACAAUAAAAUAAUUGUAAACUUAUAAAUUUUAGUAAAUUGAUAUAAGCUCUAAAAUAUGUACAUAUCGGCCGUCGCAUG